CGUUGCCGGGGAACGUUAGCUAUUCUAGAAUGAAAUUAAGUUUGUCCAACUUUUAUUUUUCAUUUACCACUUUUUUAUUUUUAUUAUUUCUUUCUAACAAUAACCUAAAUUCCACGGCUAUGUAUCAAUAUGCUGCACCCAUGAGCACAAGCUUAGAGCCACUAGAGCCCAUGAUUCUCACAUCUAGCUAUGAGCUACGCCCAUGUUUGGUUGCAAUAGGUCCAAGCCAACCCUUUUCUACAGCUAGAGUCCU
rnacentral:lncRNA from 1 species